rnacentral:lncRNA from 1 species
GACUUCUGAUUCCAAGAAAACCUUCAUUAUUCCUUCAGCUCAACAAUUCCAGACUGGUUUUCUGCUGAGAUUCUUUGGAAAAUUUUCUGUAUGAUUGUUGCCUAGAUUAUGAGCUCAGGAACUGAUUUAUGAGCGCAAACCAAGCUCCUUUAAAAGAGACAUUCUUGUUGAUAUGUAUUUAGUUCGGCCAAAUUGUCCAGCAGCAAAAUCAACAAGAAGAUACUUCUGAGUAAAUAUAUCGGAUCAAACUUAAAUAUAAUAAAACAAGCAUCACCCCUCCUUUUAUUUUGCUUUCUUGUAAAAAGGAAUCAUUAACUUGAUAAGAAUGCAUUACAUUUUAAGAAAGUAAUACAUCAGGGGAAAAAACUGAAAGAUCUUCAUCAUCCUUAUAGAUUUUGGUAACAACAGGGCAUAUCAAACCUCAUGCUGUUUCCCCCUUGCCACACCCUCCUGCUCCUAGAAUGACAGACUUCUGGUUGCUGCUCAGGUGUAUCGAACAAAAAAAUCGAGGAAAUUCAAAAUUAUAAUCAUUCGAGCUAGUU